CGGGAAGUAGCGCAGCUGGCUAGCGCGUCUGGUUUGGGACCAGAAGGUCGCGAGUUCAAAUCUCGCCUUCCCGACCA
rnacentral:tRNA from 1 species